UGUUAAAAAAAAGAAAAAAGAGCCAACUCAUAAUUCAGAACAUAACAGAGUGGUAUAGACUUUGCAUUGGGCCCUAGUGUUGAAUUCACUGUGCACUUUCCUUCAUAAUUGAGCUCUAGAAUACCAUGAAAGAUACUACGAUGCAUAUGUGAUAUAUAAUAAAGGAAUUAAAAUAGAGUGUUGUUAAGCCAUCUAAUUUUACAAUAAAUCAUGCAAAAUUUCAGAUACCUACUCGAAUAUUCAAGGACAUUGUUAAUUUCACAAAGGUGUAAAAUGUAAUUUAACAUAUUUUGUCUAUUACACCAACAUUCUAAAAUGGCACAUUUAUCUAGAAUUUUAAGAAAUUCAUGUAGAGUAAACCAAUGAGGAGAAAUUUGUAUUCGUAUAGUCAAUUUAUUUAUAAUAGAGUGUAGUGUUAUAUUAAAUAUUACAAUGGGAAACAUUCCCCAAACUUUAGGAAAAUAUAUUCUUAUGCAUAUCCUUUUAUUAAAUCUUUAUUUAAUAAAAUCUUUAUAUAUUUUCUCUACAUUGCUUAUUAAUUUUGGACUUUCACAUUAAGUGACAUAAGAUAAAAAAAUAAAGUAAAUCAUUGUUCUAGGAUUAGAUAGGGGCAUUUAAAGAAUAUUCAUAAAAUUAUUUUUGAGAGUAAGAUUCUAGAUCAUUCUAGAUCUUUAUAUUGAUAGAGAGAGAAUGUCCGGUUAGAGAGAGAAUGUCCGGUUAGAGAGAGAAUGUCCAGUUUUUUAGUGAGAGAAAAUCAUCGUUUUAAUUUUGAACUUCUGCUUCGUAGCUAUUCUACGGCUGGUGAAGAUGGCCGUACAUGAACGCCUGCAACUUCUAGCCUGCGGUGUUCAGCAUUCCACAUUCAACUCGAGUUCGUCCACCAAAUCAAAUGUUCAAAAAGUCGACAAGGUGAAGAUGGAUUAUGUCGAUCAAGUUGCUGGAAGACCUCAAAAAAAUUUAGUUAUUAGAGAAGGAUUCAGACCUUCGUUGCGUAAAGAAGCUGUGGUAGAAGGCAAAGGAAAAAAUUGUGAUGAAAGUUCAACCAGAUGCGGCAGUUUUUUCAAAACCAAAACCCGACUCUCUACAGAGUACAGGUAAAGAUGCAUCUUCUUCUUCAGGUUUGAUUUUAAAGGUUAAUAAGUUCAUGGGUAAUCAUGAAGAUGAUGAUCAAAAUCAGAUUAACCAUAAUUUAUUGGAUAAGUUUGAAAAUGAUGUGGAUGUUAAUGAGAUAGUUGUUGGGAGCAAUGAAGAGGCAACACCUAAAGACAAUUUCAUUUCUUCUUGGAAGAAACUGCAACACAUCAAACUUAACUAUAAGAUGGAGUCAACACAGAUGACUGAGGAUGGAAUUGUAGUAAAAUUCAAUUCUGAUUUCGAGCGUGCUAAUUCACAAGUUCUAAAGAAUUUGCUUGUGAUCAAAGUGCUAGGGAAUAAUAGUCCAUCUCUUGUAUGUAGCUUGGAGCUCCGAAGGCAAUGGAGUAAGUUUGGGAAUUUUCAUUUAACAACACUUGGAGUUGAUUGGAUUCUUUGUUCUUUCAAAAGCUCUGAAUCAACUGAGGAAGUUUUAAGUGGUGGACCUUGGUAUAUUGCAGAUCAGAUUAUUGUUAUGGAUAAGUGGUCUACCUCAUUCUCCCUGGAAUCAUUAAAGGUCUUACAGCGCCUGUUUGGAUUCGGUUUUCUUUCUUAUCAUUGCAUUAUUUGGAUGAGGAAAAUACUUCUAGAAUUACUUCAAUGAUUGGAUUACCAAUGUAUCUAGAUGGCAAUUCUUUCAAAUGGGGAAAAAGAGAAUUUGUACAAGUAUGUGUCUGAAUUAAUUUGGAAAAUAAAUUUCCAAAGGGAGUGUGGAUAGAAGGACUACAAGGCAGAUCAUUUAAAAAAAGUGGAAUAUGAGAAGAUUACUUCUCUUUGCUUCCAUUGUGAUAAAGUUGGUCAUAUUAGAUCACUUUGCCCUGAAGAUAAAGUUAUGCAUAAGGAGAAGAUUGCUGUUUUGCCUAAUGAAGUAAAGAUGGCUGAGACUCGGGAUAAAAUUGAAGAUUAUCCAAUGAAACAAGAUGAAUAUGGCCCCUAGAUCCAUGUAAAGUUCAGGAAUAAAAGAUUCAAAAAGGUUAAAAAGAAUGCAGAGACAAUGAUGCGAAGAAAGGCUGAAUAUCAACCAACUAUCUCUGAUGUUCAAAAAUAGACUGAAGAAUAGUAGGAUAUUUAAAAAGAAUUGAGGGACAAUGAUUUGGUUUUUGAGUUUUAUUCUAAUACACAGAAAAAGUCUGAUAAUGAUAGUUCUGGAAAGCUUCAGGUUCUUUUUUAAAAAAUAACAAGAUAAUCAAGAACCUGAUAAUAUAAAUGUCAUACAACAACACUAAAUUAUACCUGAUGUUUGUUUAAUGAAUAAAUAUAACAUUUUGAUUGAUGAUCAUGAAGAAGGUGAAGUUAUUGAAGUUGUUGAAGUUGAAGUUAUAAACAAAAUUAAAGAUGCUGCUAUUUGUACUAAUGUAUUACAUGAAGAAGCAUGUGUUUCUACGGCAAAACCAACCAGUCCUUCUAGAAAAAAAUUUGUUAAUGGAGAUCAACCAGAUUAUGAAAAUGUUAGUACAAAUUCAUGUAAAAAUAAACUGGUAAAAGAAUUGAAGUCAUUGGGUUAUGUUGAGGCUGCUCAUAGGAAGAGAAAAGGGGAGGUGAAAUGUGGCAAGAUAGGUGGGGACUCUUCCUCUAUUGGUAAUUAAUGGCUUCCUUUGUGUUCUGGAAUUGUAGGGGUGCUAGAAAGAGGGAGGCCUCUCUAUAUCUUAGAGAGAUUGUGAAGGACCAGGAGUGGUUUUUUAUUGGUCUUAAUGAGACUAAGCUUUCUAGUAUUGAUAGGAGGGAUGUUAAUAGUCUUAUUGGGAGUGACAUGGAUUUUUUUUCAUCUUCCUGCUGAGGGAACCUCGGUGGGAUUUUUGUUUUAUGGAAUAAGAAUGUUGAGUUUUUUGAGGUAGUUGAACAUUCUUCUCAAGUGGUUAUUGGGGUUCUUAAUAUUCCUAUGUUUGGUAUUUGGAAUGUGGCCACAGUUUAAGGUAACAAAGAUUUUCAUGUAAGGAGUAUGUGGGAAAUGCUUGAGAAGUUUUUGUUAGGUAGUAGACCUUCUAUUGUUGGAGGUGAUAUCAAUUGCAUCAAACUAAAGAUGACAAGAGAGGGGGCAAUAGGUUCUUUUUUCCCUAGGGACCUAAAGAGAAGAAGCUUUUAAUAACCAACAAUGAUUUUCAUGAUAUAGGUUUUGUUGGACCAAGAUUCACUUGGUGCAACAAAAAAGAAGGUGCCAUAAGAAUCUGGGAGAGAUUAGAUAGAUGCUUGUUGAUCUCUGAAGAAUUUCAAAAGACACCUAUGGAAAAGAUUAGACAUCAAGCAAGGGUGGCGUCUGACCAUAGUCCUAUUACUUUCAACUUGUUUGAGCCUCUAUACAACCAUUCUAAAAUCAUCUGAUUUGAGGAUACAUGGAAAUCAUAUCAUGCAGCGUGGAAUAUUAUGUUAAAGCCAUGGAAGAAAUCAAAUUUUGGAAGUUAUGUGUAUGUCUUGCAAAGGAAGCUUAGAAGAAUGCUGAAGUCCCUAUUCUUUUGGUAAGAACAAGUGUAAAAGUUUGAACUUGUUGAAGAAAGAAUUGAAAAAAGAAUUUUGGAACUUCAAUUGGAGGAAGCUGCAGAAGAUGGUCUUACAUUGGAAAAGCUGAACUUGCUUAGAAGUAAAUUACAUGAGAUCAAUGUUACUUUAGGAAGGUUAUCUACUUUGUGGAUUCAAAACUAAAGCUAGACGACAUGAAGAGGGUGACACAAAUUUCAAAUUUUUCCAUAAUUUUGCUUCAGCAAAGAAAAAUGGAAAUCUUAUAAGACAAAUCAAAGAUAAAAAUAACAAUUUGUUGGAGUUUGAGCACAUUGAGGUAGUUUUUCAUGAUUUUUUUGUGAAAAAAAUGGAAGGCUAGAGAAUGCAAGCUGACGGGUUGGCCUGCAUUUGCUAAAAACUAGAAAUUAUCUCAAUCACUUGUUGAUUUUAUGAAUGCAGAAUUUAUAAAGGAGUUAACCAAUGCUAUUUUUCAACAAGGUAAUAAUAAAUCUCCCGGUUUGGAUGGAAUUACUAUUUCAUUUUUUAAUUUUUAUUGGAACAUUGUGGAAGAAGUAACGUGGAAAGAAAUUGAUAGUUUUUUUAAAAUGGAUUUGAUGCAUGAUGAGUGGAAAAAUACAUUGAUUGUUUUAGUCCCCAAAAUGAAAAAACCAAUUGUUCCAGCUAAUUACAGACCUAUAAGUUUGUGUAAAACUACUUAUAAGUUGGUGGCAACUAUGAUAGUGAAUAGCUUGAAAGGAUGAAUCACAAAAUAAUUUCUGAAGAACAAGCAACAUUCAUUCCAGGGAGAUCGAUGUUUGAGCAUUAUUUGCUAGCUCGUGAGAUCUUCAACAAAUAUAGAAUCUCAAAAUAUAAGAAAGGCAUGAUGGAGGUCAAACUGGACAUGGAGCAAGCUUACAAUAGCAUGGGAUGGCCAACUUUCAAUCAAGUUUUAAAAUUAUUUGUAUUCCCUUUGAUGAUCUCCAAGCUAAUCAUGGAAUGUGUUAGGAAUGUCAGGUUUUUGUUUAUUUUGAAUGGGAAAUUUUCUAAUUGGAUUAAGGCAGAAAGUGGUUUUCGCCAAGGAUGCCCUCUAUCUCCUUAUUUUUUCAUCACGUGUUCUCAAUUAUUAUCAAUUGCAAUUGAACAAGGAGGACAAGAGUUUGGAGUUCAGAUUUCUCCCACAGCUCAAAAGGUUUGAAGGUAAACAAUUCAAAAUCUCAAAUCUAAUUCAGUUAUUCUACCAAGCGUUCAAGUAAGAAUCAAAUUAUGAGAAAAAUUAGGUUUCAAGGUGGUUAAAGAGCUGACUACUUGGGUGUUAAAAUUGUUUUGAGAAGAUUGACAAGAUCUGAUUUUCAAUGUGUGCUGGAUCAUGUUUUGCAAAAACUGAAUGCUUGGGGAAGCAAAUCUCUUUCAAUGGCUGGUAAGAUAAUUCUUGUAAAGUCUUCUCUUCUAUCACUACCAAACUUCUUAUCAACACACUCCUUGGUUCCAAAGAAAUUGUUGUAUGAAGUGGAUAAAUGUUGCAAAUAUUUUAUUUGGCAUAAAAGUAAUGGAAGGAAAGGGUUACAUUAUAUAUCAUGGGACAAAUUGUGUAAACCGAAAUCUGUUGGAGGCCUGGGUUUGCAUUUAGCUGCUCUUAGAGCUAGCUCUCUUAGAUCGAGAUUGGCUUGGAGAUUUAUUCAAAAUCAAGAUACUUUACUUCAUAGAAAUAUUAUUGCUAAGUAAGGUGAUAAUGUUUUGAAUGGUGAAAGCAAGAAAGGAGUCUUCUACGGCAUUGAAAAUUCUGAUACAUGGUGGAAAAUUUCUCAAACCUUUGUUAAGAUGGAAAGUGGUAGAUGGAAGGAGAAUUAAUGUUCUAAAAGACAUAUGGGUGUUAGAUAAAUGCUUGUGUACUUGGCCAACAUUUGCUGAUUGUGUAGGAUUGGAAGAUAUAAUGAUUCAUCAAUUCAUUUCAACAAAUGGCAGUUGGAAUGUGGAGGAGCUUCAAUGGUUCUUUCACGAGGAUCUUAUUUCGUUAAUCUUGCAAGUUCCUAUCAAUUAUACCAUUGAAUCUGACCAUGUGGAAGUUAUAUACCAUCAUACGGGAAGAUCUAUUGCUGCUCUUUCAUAUGAAGAGUCAUUAAACCGUUGUUCUAAGGAGGGGAAUUUGGAUAUUCAAAUUGGUUAAGGAAGCAUAAAUUGAAUCCUUGGGUGGAAUUAUUUUUGUGGAGGAUGAGUAAGUUUUCAAUCCCAACAAAUGAGUUUCUUAAACAUAGGAACUUAAGCCAUAAUGACGUAUGUGCAAGAGGGUGUCAAGAAGCGGAGAGUUAUGCUUAUAUUGCAAAUUCUUGAUUGAGAUUUUUUUGAAGUUACGAGAAUGGGGUUUUAACAUUCUGAAAUUUCAAUCAUUGGAAGAGUGCUUGCGAGAACUUAAAAGUCUUUCAAUUUUUUCUUCUAAUAUGGUGAAGAUGUAUUUUACUAUAGUUUUUAUAUCUUGGAAAAAUAAAAAUGAAGUAGUACACGGAAAGCCUAAUCUUUCGAGCUCAGUAGUUGCAACAAAUGUUUUAUCUACAGCCAUGAUACAUUCAUAUCCAAUACUAGAUAGUUGGGUGUUAAUCUCCUUAGGGAGUUUAAAAAUGUUUGGCACCUCCACCGCUAGGUUGGAUUAAAAUCAAUGUGGAUGCAUCUCUUUUGGAAUCAAACCUUGCUGGAAUUGGAGGUGUAUUUAGAGAUCAUGAAGGAAGAUUAUUACUUGCUUCUGGGGAAAAAAGAAUUCAUUGGGACGUGGCAGAACUUGAGAUGGCGGUUGUUUUGGCUAUAAGGAAAUUCAUUCAAAGUCUGAUGAUAGAUAGCAAAGGAGUAAUAAUUGAAGGUGAUAGCUUCAACAUCAUCAAGUUUAUUCAAGAUUCUUUGAGUAAAGCAAAGUGGCAAAACAACACUUGGAGCAUAAAGGAUUUAUUGUUUUUAAAUGAUUUUAAUAAGGUGAUCUUCCACCAUGUUCAUAGACAGUUUAAUAAAGUAGCUGAUCCUUGUGCUACUUUGGAUUUAGAGGAUAAUUUGUUUUUGGUAGUUUUUCUUUUAAUGACAUUCCUUCUUCUUUAUGUAGUUUGUUAAAGAAGGAAAAUGAAUGUGAGCCUUUUUUAGCUUGUAAUUAGUUCUUUUAUUAAUGCAUUUUUGCAAUUCU